GACGAACGCUGGCGGCGUGCCUAAUACAUGCAAGUAGAACGCUGAAGAGAGGAGCUUGCUCUUCUUGGAUGAGUUGCGAACGGGUGAGUAACGCGUAGGUAACCUGCCUUGUAGCGGGGGAUAACUAUUGGAAACGAUAGCUAAUACCGCAUAACAAUGGAUGACACAUGUCAUUUAUUUGAAAGGGGCAAUUGCUCCACUACAAGAUGGACCUGCGUUGUAUUAGCUAGUAGGUGAGGUAAUGGCUCACCUAGGCGACGAUACAUAGCCGACCUGAGAGGGUGAUCGGCCACACUGGGACUGAGACACGGCCCAGACUCCUACGGGAGGCAGCAGUAGGGAAUCUUCGGCAAUGGGGGCAACCCUGACCGAGCAACGCCGCGUGAGUGAAGAAGGUUUUCGGAUCGUAAAGCUCUGUUGUAAGUCAAGAACGGGUGUGAGAGUGGAAAGUUCACACUGUGACGGUAGCUUACCAGAAAGGGACGGCUAACUACGUGCCAGCAGCCGCGGUAAUACGUAGGUCCCGAGCGUUGUCCGGAUUUAUUGGGCGUAAAGCGAGCGCAGGCGGUUUGAUAAGUCUGAAGUUAAAGGCUGUGGCUCAACCAUAGUUCGCUUUGGAAACUGUCAAACUUGAGUGCAGAAGGGGAGAGUGGAAUUCCAUGUGUAGCGGUGAAAUGCGUAGAUAUAUGGAGGAACACCGGUGGCGAAAGCGGCUCUCUGGUCUGUAACUGACGCUGAGGCUCGAAAGCGUGGGGAGCGAACAGGAUUAGAUACCCUGGUAGUCCACGCCGUAAACGAUGAGUGCUAGGUGUUGGAUCCUUUCCGGGAUUCAGUGCCGCAGCUAACGCAUUAAGCACUCCGCCUGGGGAGUACGACCGCAAGGUUGAAACUCAAAGGAAUUGACGGGGGCCCGCACAAGCGGUGGAGCAUGUGGUUUAAUUCGAAGCAACGCGAAGAACCUUACCAGGCCUUGACAUCCCGAUGCUAUUUCUAGAGAUAGAAAGUUACUUCGGUACAUCGGUGACAGGUGGUGCAUGGUUGUCGUCAGCUCGUGUCGUGAGAUGUUGGGUUAAGUCCCGCAACGAGCGCAACCCCUAUUGUUAGUUGCCAUCAUUCAGUUGGGCACUCUAGCGAGACUGCCGGUAAUAAACCGGAGGAAGGUGGGGAUGACGUCAAAUCAUCAUGCCCCUUAUGACCUGGGCUACACACGUGCUACAAUGGUUGGUACAACGAGUUGCGAGUCGGUGACGGCGAGCUAAUCUCUUAAAGCCAAUCUCAGUUCGGAUUGUAGGCUGCAACUCGCCUACAUGAAGUCGGAAUCGCUAGUAAUCGCGGAUCAGCACGCCGCGGUGAAUACGUUCCCGGGCCU
rnacentral:rRNA from 1 species